rnacentral:rRNA from 1 species
AACGAACGCUGGCGGCAUGCCUAACACAUGCAAGUCGAACGAGAGCUUCGGGCUUGCUCGUGGACGCAGGGGUGGCCGGGGGGGACCUGCCUAUGAGUUUGCAAUAACUCCCGGAAUGACGUGCUAAUACCGGAUCUUAUAUCCCGACCAAAGGUUUAUCGCGUUUGGGUGGGCGUGGGUUGGAUUGGCUUGUUGGGAGGGUAAAAGGCUAUCAAGGCGAGGAUGCAUAGCUGGUCAGUGAGGAUGGUCAGCGACACUGGGGCGGAGACACGGUCCAGACUCCUGGGGGAGGCAGCAGUGGGUGAUACAGGACAGUGGGCGAAGGCCUGAUGGAGCAAUGCCGGGUGAGUGAUGAAGGCCUUGGGGAAGUACAGUACGUUUACCCGGGAUGAUAAUGACAGUACCGAGAGAAUAAGCUCCGGCUAACUCCGUG